UAAGGUGUGAGCACUGGCUGAAGAUUUUUUCAUAUUUGAACAUUGCGAAGUUGUUGUUUGGUUGGUUUUUUUUUUCCUAUGCUCUCCAGUAUCUAGUAAGAGCCUGCAAAAAGGUUUCCUUUGUUUCUCACAGCUGCUGGCUUUUGUAAUACUUAUAGGAGCAUAUAAACUUAAAACCUUUGUCAAAUGUGGCAGAUGGCUUCAAAAGCUUUGGGGGAAGAAGUGCAUUCUUGCCUGCAUGUCUGAAAUGUGAUUGUGUAAGACUUGUUUCCUUAAGGUAUUGGGCUAAAUGCAAGUAAUGAAACCAGAUAAACUGUUAGACUGGAAGAGUUUUCUUUUUCCAGUUUUCUAAUCAUCUAAGCCACUUGCUACCCUUUUUUUUUUUUUUUUUUUUCAGAUGACACUGGGCUGUCUUCCGCUGAAGAAUGUUGUCUUCCAAACCAAGGACACAGCUUCUUCUCAAGUCUAAUCUGCUUUAUCAUGCUGCAGAAUAUAUUUGCCAGGACCCAAACUUCCCAGCUGCAUCCCCAGAGCUCUGCACCAUGUCAGCGUGUCAGACAAGAGGUUCCUGUUCAUUCAUUAAGAAGCAACGUGCUCAAAAUAGGAAUAAAUACCGAGUCUUACUCAGUAAGGGUAAGUAGGGCUUUUUAAUACCACAUCUAUUUAGCUUUCCCCCAUUUAGCUUUCCUCGUACUUUAUGAACAAAGAAACAUGAUCAAAAGCACUUGUUUGUAUACUUCAGUUUUUACUCUGCAUUACACUUGCAGCAUGCACUUCAAGUUAGUGUUAAAAUUAAGAUCAGUUGGUAAAGGUUGUGACUUAAUCAGUAUGGGGUAGAGAUGCUGUAAUGCUCACAGAAAUGGUCACUUGUCUGAAAGAAAAGUAGCUUGCCCUAACUUUUUACAUCACCUCUACCUAGGGGGUGUUGCUAAGUGUUUCUGCAGAGCAGCCUGCUGCCACAGCUGUGAUGCUGUGUAGCAAGUCUGUAAUGUUUUGAAAGUGGCCUUUAAUGUUUGAACUUCCAGCAAGCCAGCUUUGUGUUUUCUAGUGUUGACAUGUGGCUUCCAGACUUUAAAACCCAAUACAUGUUAUUGUAUUGCAUGAAUGUUGAAUUUAAACCAUAUUUUAAUAAUUUGGCCACCUGUACAAUAUCCUAAUAAUCUUAAAAUAGAGAACUUGAGAUCCUCUGUAAAAUUAUUUGUAGCAGAUGUUAAAUCUUUGGUGUAUUCUACACAUUUACACGCUGGGGGACAGAUAUUAAACAUUACCCUUACAAAAAUAACCCAAAACAUAUUUAUUUCAAAGAAUUAGAAUGGUUCAUAGCAGGAAGUGGAUGCAGGAAGCCUCAUCCAUUGUUGUGGUUUGUUUUAAAGGUGUGCUCAAAAUGAGAUGAAAAAAAGUUUGUCGUUACUGCAGUUGGACAAAAUCAUUUGAGUGUUUAAAAGAUAAAAAGCCUUUUUUUUAUAUGUUGUUCCAGCAACUUUCUCAGCUGUUAUUUUUCUAGCCCAGCUUUCUUUUUAUUAUUAUUUUUUUUAGUACACUUCAACUCUCCGACCUUAAAAAUGUAAUUAUGGGGCACUAAAUCCUAAGUGUCAAACCCAUUCUCUGAUGAUUGAAAAAUUACCCUUUUGGUCAGAACUUGAGAGCCAGAAAUUAAAAACUUGCUGGCAAGAGGCAAAUGUUAUAGCCUGAUGUGACUGGGUAACAAGUCUCUUUAGUAGCAAAGUGAAGUGCUGCUUUUAAAGAUAAAGAUGUUGUUGACAAGCAAACGUGUAUAUAUAGUCUCCGUUGAUGUAGCUAGCUCCAAGUCUGCAAACUCUGAAUUGGCUUCAGAAACCAUGACACUUUUAAAAUCUGAGUACGUUUUGGGGUGGGUUUUGCCUCCUGAGGUUUCGAGUUCACCCUGUAACUACAAGGGCUGGACUUUUCCUUUCUUUCUUUGUGAUGAAAGUUAAGGUUAUGGCAAAGUCUUGUGUUUCCAGGAACUAUGACUUUAGGAAAACCAGUGUCUAACACAGCAAUAAAAGGGCAGCAAGCCCCUACCCACUCCUUCAACUACUGCCUCUUCCUCUGUAGGAAACAUCACCUCGGGCUUCUUCAGUUGGGAUAAAUAUCAUACUUGCCCCACUCUUCCAUUUUCCCUUCUCCAGUUGUCUCUCUUGUCCACCUCCCACCCUGCCCACCCUGUGCUGACAUCCUCCUCCCUCCCCUCCCAUCCUUGCGUUUCAGACGUUUUCCAGCCUCAGGUGUAGGGGCAACCUCUAGACAAUGUUAUUCUGUGGGAAGACUCCCAGCCUUUCCCCUGGUGCUGUCGAGUUUAUUUGUGCUGGCAGCAAUGGCAGUAAGUGCAAAUUCUGGAAAGAGAAAAUAGAUGGAGGGCUGUUAAAUGCCAAGAACAAAUGCUAGAUUGCCAGCAACUGGUAGGGCAGACCAAGGGGGGUGCUGCUGCAGGCUUCCUUGGAGCAUCUGUUCUUUCCCUCAUCUGCCACGGGCUGGUGUAAGACGGGGUGCUGACUGGGACCUCGCUUUGACCAGCUUCAGCUCCUUUGAUGUUCCCAAUGAUGCGGAGCCAGAGGAGCAAGCGGUGGGCACCACCUCUGAGCUGGGAGCCGAGCAGUGCCGGCCCUGCCCUAUUGCAGCCUUUAACUAGUAUUUCCUGCAGUAGGAAAAUGUGUUACAGUCACCGACGUGAUGAUGUGGCUCUCAACUUGAGAUCCUAACAGGGUAAGGAAAAAGGACCAAAUUUUCAAGACACCACUGGUCGUAGAGGCUUCAGUUUUGCCUCUAUUUGUCCAAAGACAGUUUGGCCAUAACUUUUGGAAGAGCAGAGCAUGCACAGGUCUAACUGGGUUGUCCCACCUGCUUCAACCUCAAGGAACUAAUCCAGGGUGAGGAAUGAAAAGGCAGGUGCUCAGCCUUGGGUCAGAGUUGAUGUGUUUUGCUUAAAAAGCAGAGGGGCUGUUGACUGAUUAAAACUAUGAGUUCUGCUACAUUUUCUGCGUUCAUAAAGAAAAUAGGAGCAUCAGUCAGUGAACUGUGCUGCCUGGUGUGUUUAGGGGUUACCAUUGAAAAUCUGGCUUAGGGAGUGAAAAGUAUGAAUGCCUCUGCUGCUGGAGCUCAUAAAGAUAUGUCUGGUUGGCUUCUGCAGCAGGUGGUAGUGUCAACCUGGAUGUGACCUUUCUGUUUCUGGAGGAGAAUGGAUCAGGGGUGUUAUGCAGCCAAAAAAUAUUUGCAGCUGGAGACAGGGAUGGGGCAAACUUUUCCUCUUUUAUCAUAAAUCAGUGCAAAACUUUUUUUUCAUGAUUAGAAUAAAAAUGCAUUGUCCUGUAGCUUUGUGGUGCAUGAAGUGAUGCUGAAAUACAUGAUAACCUCUGCUUUAUCCUGAAAUAAGCUAAAACUCAUCCCAAAGGCUUUUUUUUGUUCCAGAUUAUAGUGAAUGUAAACAUACAUGUGUAUAUAUGGACUUACAUAAUCACUUACAGACUUUUGACAUGUCAACAUUAAUUUACAGUUGCUGAGAUUGUAUUGAUAGGCCUUUGGACACUCACAGCUUCUGAUCUUUUGCAUGGAAUGUGUAAUUUUUCUUCUGAAGGCUGGUUUAUUUAACCAGGUAGAUCAUCACAAGCAACGAUCGAGAUCUCUAUUUUGAUUUCUUGGCUAUAUAGUUUAGCAUUAAAGAUGCCUGUUAGGACUUGAUAAAUGGGAGCUGUAAUGGCAUGACUUAUUUAAGUGUGUAUGCAACUGAUGAUCUUCAAGUCACUACUGUGCAUAACCCACUCCUCUCAGCUCCAGAGUGCUAGCUAACCAACCCAAACAGCAAUUAGAAAGAAAAAAAAAAAUAAA